rnacentral:tRNA from 5 species
UUAAAGGAUAAAAGUAAUCCACUGGUCU